rnacentral:rRNA from 1 species
UACGUAGGGUGCAAGCGUUUAUCCGGAAUUAUUGGGCGUAAAGAGCUCGUAGGCGGUUUGUCGCGUCUGCUGUGAAAACUGGAGGCUCAACCUCCAGCCUGCAGUGGGUACGGGCAGACUAGGGUGCGGUAGGGGAGAUUGGAAUUCCUGGUGUAGCGGUGGAAUGCGCAGAUAUCAGGAGGAACACCGAUGGCGAAGGCAGAUCUCUGGGCCGUAACUGACGCUGAGGAGCGAAAGCAUGGGGAGCGAACAGG